UACGGAGGGUGCAAGCGUUAAUCGGAAUUACUGGGCGUAAAGCGCGCGUAGGUGGUUUGAUAAGCGAGAUGUGAAAGCCCCGGGCUUAACCUGGGAACGGCAUUUCGAACUGUCAGGCUAGAGUAUGGUAGAGGAGUGUGGAAGUUUCCUGUGUAGCGGUGAAAUGCGUAGAUAUAGGAAGGAACACCAGUGGCGAAGGCCGGCACAUCUGGACCAAUACUGACACUGAGGUGCAGAAAGCGGUGGGGAGCAAACAGGACUUAGAUAUCCCCCCCGCGUCCCC
rnacentral:rRNA from 1 species